CACACUUUUUCUUUGAUUUUUUUCUCAAAAUAUACCCCAUGUCCCUUUGAAAUCCCUGUAAUAUCCCUCUCCCAAUUUUUUUUCCCGUAAUAUCCCUUUGAGAGGACAAAUUCUGCAAUUGGAACAGGGAAAGGAGGUAGCGACAUUUAGAAUGUCGCCAUCCAAAGGUAGGUAGCGACAAUGACAAUGUAGCCAUUGACCAGAGUUUUUCUUUUACAGUCUCUUCCUCUUCACUCUUCCAUCAACACAGCAGCAACAUCUCUGCUCCUCCAUCCUCCAUCUUUUCAAUAAGCAGCACCUCAUCUCAACUCCACCACUAUCAAUCUCCACCUGCAUCUUCAACCUUCAUCUACCAUUAACAACCACAACCUCCACUGUCAAACCACCACAAUCAUCUCUAAACCACCCAUAACCGAAAACAAACAGAGAAAGAAAGAAAACAAAAGAAACGAGCAAAUCGAAAGAGAUAAGUUUUUCACCGCCGUUUCAGAACCGUCGUCGCACCACCAUAACCACCACCGAACAAACAGAGAAAGCCCAAGAGAGAGAGAAUGGCGACGGCGGUGGCAAGCGCCGCCGCCGACAAUGAAGAAAACGAGAGAGAGGAAGUGGGGGAGGAGUGGUACGCGCAAAAGAGGAAGAGACCGUAAAAAAAAAAACAAAAACUUUGAUCAAUGGCUACACUGCCAUUGUCGCUAGCUACCUUUGGAUGGCGACAUUCUGAAUGUCGCUACCUCCUUUCCUGCUGCAAUUGCAGAAUUUGUCCCCACAGAGGGAUAUUACGGGAAAAAAAAUUAGGAGAGGGAUAUUACGGGAAUUUCAAAGGGACAUGGGGUAUAUUUUGGGAAAAAAAUCCUUUUUCUUUCUCUCAAACACUCUCAGCUCUCUCUUUUCUCUCCAUCACCGUACAACACCACCACCCCACUAAGCUCAUCAAUUUUUGCUUCAAUCUCACAUGCAAUUGGUAAUACAAGUUCCUUAAGUUAUAGGCUCCAAGGAACCUGUUUUGGAGGCACAAGUUCAAGAGGGAACUGAAGUGCAAUUUCAUAUAAGUAAUCAAGCUUUGGAGUUAGAAACAAGCUUCAAAAGAUUAGAUA